UACGGAGGGUGCGAGCGUUGUCCGGAAUCACUGGGCGUAAAGGGCGCGUAGGUGGCGCGAGUAGUCAACGGUGAAAGCCCGGGGCUCAACCCCGGGUCGGCCGUCGAUACUCUCGUGCUUGAGCACUGUAGAGGCAGGUGGAAUUCCGGGUGUAGCGGUGGAAUGCGUAGAGAUCCGGAAGAACACCAGUGGCGAAGGCGGCUUCCUGGCCUGUUCUUGACGCUGAGGCGCGAAAGCUAGGGGAGCAAACGGG
rnacentral:rRNA from 1 species